rnacentral:tRNA from 45 species
GUCGAUUUAAAAAAUCGUGAGGGUUCAAGUCCCUCUAUCCCCAAAAAGAC